rnacentral:rRNA from 1 species
UACGGAGGAUGCAAGCGUUAUCCGGAAUGAUUGGGCGUAAAGCGUCCGCAGGUGGCUGUGUAAGUCUGCUGUCAAAGAGCGAAGCUCAACUUCGUAAAGGCAGUGGAAACUACACGGCUAGAGUGCGUUCGGGGCAGAGGGAAUUCCUGGUGUAGCGGUGAAAUGCGCAGAUAUCAGGAGGAACACCGGUGGCGAAGGCGGGUCUCUGGGCCGAUACUGACGCUGAGGAGCGAAAGCUAGGGGAGCAAACGGG